GAGUUUGAUCCUGGCUCAGAACGAACGUUAGCGGCGCGCCUAACACAUGCAAGUCGCACGAGAAAGGGCUUCGGCCCCGGUACAGUGGCGCACGGGUGAGUAACACGUGGGUAAUCUGCCUUCGGGUGGGGGAUAACAUUCCGAAAGGAGUGCUAAUACCGCAUAAGACCACACCUCCGAAAGGAGAAGCGGUCAAAGCUGGCCUCUAUACAUAAGCUAGCGCCUGAAAAUGAGCCCGCGGAGCAUCAGCUAGUUGGUGAGGUAAUGGCUCACCAAGGCUUAGACGCUUAGCUGGUCUGAGAGGAUGAUCAGCCACACUGGAACUGAGACACGGUCCAGACUCCUACGGGAGGCAGCAGUGGGGAAUCUUGCGCAAUGGGCGAAAGCCUGACGCAGCGACGCCGCGUGAGUGAUGAAGGCCUUCGGGUUGUAAAGCUCUGUGGGGAGAGAAGAAUAAGUGCGGGCUAAUACUCCGCAUGAUGACGGUAUCUCCUUAGCAAGCACCGGCUAACUCUGUGCCAGCAGCCGCGGUAAGACAGAGGGUGCAAACGUUGUUCGGAAUUACUGGGCGUAAAGCGAGUGUAGGCGGUUCGGUAAGUCGGAUGUGAAAGCCCCGGGCUCAACCCGGGAAGUGCACUCGAUACUGCCGAGCUAGAGUAUCGGAGAGGUUGGUGGAAUUCUCGGUGUAGAGGUGAAAUUCGUAGAUAUCGAGAGGAACACCGGUGGCGAANGCGGCCNACUGGACGAANACUGACGCUGANACUCGAAAGCGUGGGGAGCAAACAGGAUUAGAUACCCUGAUAGUCCACGCCGUAAACGAUGGGUGCUAGGUGUCGCGGGCUUUGANUCCUGCGGNGCCGUAGCUAACGCAUUUNAGCACCCCGCCUGGGAAGUACGG
rnacentral:rRNA from 1 species